GACGAACGCUGGCGGCGUGCCUAAUACAUGCAAGUCGAACGCAGUGGGGACGGGUGAGUAACACGUGGGUAACCUCCCAUCAGAGGGGAUAACACUUGGAAACAGGUGCUAAACCGAUCCUGAUGGAUGGACCCGCGGGGCAUUAGCUAGUUGGUGAGGGAACGGCUCACCAAGGCCACGAUGCAUAGCCGGCCUGCGAGGGUGAUCGGCCACACUGGGAAUGAGACACGGCCCAGGCUCCUACGGGAGGCAGCAGUCGGGAAUCUUCGGCAAUGGACGAAAGUCUGACCGAGCGACGCCGCGUGAGUGAAGAAGGUUUUCGGAUCGUAAAACUGUUUUGGUAGAGAAGCGGUAUCUGCCCAGAAAGCCACGGCUAACUACGUGCCAGCCGCCGCGGUAAUUC
rnacentral:rRNA from 1 species